UACGUAGGGUCCGAGCGUUGUCCGGAAUUAUUGGGCGUAAAGGGCUCGUAGGCGGUCUGUUGACGUCGGGAGUGAAAACUUACAGCUUAACUGUGAGCGUGCUUCCGAUACGGGCAGACUUGAGGUAUUCAGGGGAGAACGGAAUUCCUGGUGUAGCGGUGAAAUGCGUAGAUAUCUGGAGGAAUACCGGUGGCGAAGGCGGCAUCCUGGACCGACAUUGACGCUGAUGAGCGAAAGCUAGGGGAGCAAACGGG
rnacentral:rRNA from 1 species